rnacentral:rRNA from 1 species
CUCCGGGAAACCGGGGCUAAUACCGGAUAACAUUUUGAACCGCAUGGUUCGAAAUUGAAAGGCGGCUUCGGCUGUCACUUAUGGAUGGACCCGCGUCGCAUUAGCUAGUUGGUGAGGUAACGGCUCACCAAGGCAACGAUGCGUAGCCGACCUGAGAGGGUGAUCGGCCACACUGGGACUGAGACACGGCCCAGACUUAUACGGGAGGCAGCAGUAGGGAAUCUUCCGCAAUGGACGAAAGUCUGACGGAGCAACGCCGCGUGAGUGAUGAAGGCUUUCGGGUCGUAAAACUCUGUUGUUAGGGAAGAACAAGUGCUAGUUGAAUAAGCUGGCACCUUGACGGUACCUAACCAGAAAGCCACGGCUAACUACGUGCCAGC